rnacentral:lncRNA from 1 species
GCCUCAACUAUGAGGCCUCGGCUCUUGAAGGGCCCCGUGGAGGUGCUGGGCCUGGGUGCUGUCCGCUGGCUCACGUAGGCAGGUCUAUUGCUCCACUGAAGGUGCUCCUAGCAUCUAGAAUAUUGGGAAUCAGAAUACUGGGAGUACGUCCUAGCAUCUGACAUAGCCGGAGCCUGUGAUGGGUUACAGCCUCCAAGGCUGUAUUUGUUUGCUUGGGAUGCCAUAACAAAGGACCACAGACUGGGGGGUUUAAACAGCGGAAGUUUACUUUCUCACAGUCCUGGAGGCUGGAAGUCUGAGGUCAAGGUGCCAGCGGUGUCGGUUUCUCCUGAGGCCGCUCUCUUUUGCCGUUGGAGUCUGUGGAGACAAAGAGGGAGGUCUUGCUGUACCUGACCCUCUGGGAUGCAUUACCACCCACGCCGACCUGCUCUCUGUGGCUUUCUGACAGCACCACACAGCCCUGGAACUGGAAAUGUGGCUCUCACUGAAGCUGCCCAGAAAGAGGGUCUCUCAAUGAACACCCCCUUCUGUCAGCUGGGGCAGCUCCAAAGAAAGGCUGGUAAUUCUCUUCACACAGGAUUUGAUAUGCUUGGUGGCUCCAGAAAAAUGCAAGUGUGCAUGUUCAUCCACUUGACAAAGGGUGACUUAACUGUCGGUGUCCUGUGGAUUCAAACUGAAAGGGUUUGGGCAAAAGAAAGAGAAGAAGGUGGGACUGCGAGUAAGUCGAAAACAGCAUUUUGGAGGCAACAGCUGUGAAACAGAAGGGAAGGAAAAUUUAUGACCAUAUACAUUUCAGUAGGAAUUUAUAACCUUUUAUGAACAUUAUCUUAAAGUUAGUCUCUAGACAUAGGUCUAAAAAUAAAAUUAUGCUGAACUGUGUACCCAGAGAAUGGUAAAUGGGAAUAAGUUUCUCGAAAGGGAUGACGCAGGUCCAGGGAAAGGUCAUGUUGAAUAAUCAAGGUCGGUGAAGGUCAAAAUCACAAAGAAGGACCCUGUAUUCACUCCUGUCCUGAUGGCAGCUUCAGUGGAAACCCUUGGCCAUCGCUUUGCCUCUCCAAGCAUUCGAGAAAGACCGUCUGGUGCCAUAUUGUCUUCUGGGGACAGCUGGUCACCUGGGGAGAGCUGCAUCGUGCUCCUACCCCUGUCAGAUCUGGGCAGAGGACAGACAAAAGUCCUCUGGAGUUUUCCACAGUGAGAGUCAGGGAAGUUCAUCUAAGGAAUUGGAGCCAAGGUUAGAAACUUCUCUGGAGAUGUUCUAGUUUUGUUUGCUAGCUCGGCAGCUGCGUAAUGACACUCCCUCCAGCAGGGCACGUAGUUCACUUCAAAUCACAAAUGGUGGGACCUUAGUAUUUUUCACUGUCAGUUAAUUAUCAGAAAUAGAUUUGUUGCUAUCUAGAUACCAGCCAUUUGUCCAAAUUACUAGGAUAAGAUUCCCAAGAAAGCCUGAAAUCAGAUAGCUUUCUCCCCCAUAUUUUAAAAUACACACAAAUAAAAUCAUUCUG